UAUCACUAAAGAAUCCUUAGAUUCUUUCAAAAUGCAUAUCCUGCGUUGUCUCAACAAAUUUAAAAUCUUUUUCUGUGUUGGUGUUGUGUACUCAGGUGAAUAAUAUGUUUGCAAUGUUACUCUGAGUGCAUAUCCACACCGGGCGAGCUUGAAAAAUAUGCCCGGCCACGGUGGGAUUCGAACCUACGACCUUUGGAAUACUAGCCCAAUGCUCUUCCAACUGAGCUACGCGGUCAGGACGGUUCGAGUAAGUGAUAUUUCGGAACAGUAUCUAGUUCCUUCAAUACCAAU